rnacentral:rRNA from 1 species
GAUGAACGCUGGCGGCGUGCCUAAUACAUGCAAGUCGAGCGAACGGACGAGAAGCUUGCUUCUCUGAUGUUAGCGGCGGACGGGUGAGUAACACGUGGAUAACCUACCUACAAGACUGGGAUAACUUCGGGAAACCGUAGCUAAUACCGGAUAAUAUUUUGAACCGCAUGGUUCAAAAGUGAAAGACGGUCUUGCCGUCACUUAUAGAUGGAUCCGCGCUGCAUUAGAUAGUUGGUAAGGUAACGGCUUACCAAGGCAACGAUGCAUAGCCGACCUGAGAGGGUGAUCGGCCACACUGGAACUGAGACACGGUCCAGACUCCUACGGGAGGCAGCAGUAGGGAAUCUUCCGCAAUGGGCGAAAGCCUGACGGAGCAACGCCGCGUGAGUGAUGAAGGUCUUCGGAUCGUAAAACUCUGUUAUUAGGGAAGAACAUAUGUGUAAGUAACUGUGCACAUCUUGACGGUACCUAAUCAGAAAGCCACGGCUAACUACGUG